GCUGAAGCAGCAAGAUGCGACGUCCAUUCCACUCGCACGACUGUGGACUAAGCUCGACUCCACCUUGCUGCAGUUAAAGCACCAGCUUGCAGCGCCACCUGCUGCCCGUAUGGUGAUUAAU